GACAGAGGUGCCAAGCGUUAGGCGGAAUCACUGGGCUUAAAGCGUGUGUAGGCGGAUGUCUAAGUACCUUGUGAAAUCCCACGGCUCAACCGUGGAAACUGCUUGGUAUACUGGACGUCUUGAGCCAGCUAGGGGCUACCGGAACAAAUGGUGGAGCGGUGAAAUGCGUAGAUAUCAGGAGGAACACCGGUGGCGAAGGCGGUUCUCUGGGCAUUACCUGACGCUGAGGAGCGAAAGUGUGGGGAGCGAACAGG
rnacentral:rRNA from 1 species